GGGAAUACAGCUCAGUGGCAGAGCAUGUGCGUGGUGUGCGUGAGGUCCUGGGUUCAAUCCCCAGUGCCUCCA
rnacentral:tRNA from 1 species